rnacentral:rRNA from 1 species
GUGGGGAAUUUUGGACAAUGGGCGCAAGCCUGAUCCAGCAAUGCCGCGUGCAGGAAGAAGGCCUUCGGGUUGUAAACUGCUUUUGUACGGAACGAAACGGUCCGGGUUAAUACCCUGGGCUAAUGACGGUACCGUAAGAAUAAGCACCGGCUAACUACGUGCCAGCAGCCGCGGUAAUACGUAGGGUGCAAGCGUUAAUCGGAAUUACUGGGCGUAAAGCGUGCGCAGGCGGUUUUGUAAGACAGGUGUGAAAUCCCCGGGCUCAACCUGGGAACUGCACUUGUGACUGCAAGGCUAGAGUGUGUCAGAGGGAGGUGGAAUUCCGCGUGUAGCAGUGAAAUGCGUAGAUAUGCGGAGGAACACCGAUGGCGAAGGCAAUCCCCUGGGCCUGUACUGACGCUCAUGCACGAAAGCGUGGGGAGCAAACAGGAUUAGAAACCCCUGUAGUCC